rnacentral:rRNA from 1 species
CAAAGGAAUUGACGGGGCCGCACAAGCGGUGGAGCAUGUGGUUAAUUCGACGCAACGCGAAGAACCUUACCUGGGCUUGACAUCCCGAUCGCACCUUAUGGAACAUAGGGGUCAGUUCGGCUGGAUCGGUGACAGGUGCUGCAUGGCUGUCGUCAGCUCGUGUCGUGAGAUGUUGGGUUAAGUCCCGCAACGAGCGCAACCCUUGCCCUUAGUUGCCAGCAUUCAGUUGGGCGCUCUAAGGAGACUGCCGGUGUCAAACCGGAGGAAGGUGGGGAUGACGUCAAGUCCUCAUGGCCCUUAUGUCCAGGGCUACACACGUGCUACAAUGGCCGGUACAAAGGGGCGCAAGACCGCGAGGUGGAGCAAAUCCCAAAAAACCGGUCUCAGUUCGGAUUGGAGUCUGCAACUCGACUCCAUGAAGUUGGAAUCGCUAGUAAUCGCGUAUCAGCAUGACGCGGUCGAAUACGUUCCCGGGCCUU